GUUUGACAUGACGGUGUUAAGUCUUUUUGAUGACAAUCAAUGCAAAAAUGUAAACAUUGGGAUGUUUAGUAAACGGAACUUCUGAUCAUUAAUUCAAGCUGGUAAGUACCUUUGUAUAAAGUAAAUAUGCUAGUACAUCACAAGUUGUAUCAUAUAGCGAAUAAUUUAACACAGAACAAAGCUUGCGUAUGUCAAAAUUUAAAACCUGUUAAUUGGUUUAUCGUGCAUAAAAAAGUUGUUUUCUUACAGUCUGUUACAUCACAUAUAUCUUCGUGAUAUAACACUGCGGUCAAUUAUUCUGAAAAAUACCUACUUUUGCAAUCAAUUCAAAAUUACUGAAAUAGCUGUGUCAUGGUUUGGUUCAUUCGUGUCAUGGUUAAGUUCAUGUUCGACAUGGUUCAGUUAUGUAAUUCUUGUCGUGUAUAAUGAAGAGUUACUAUCAAAAUUAACAAAAAUCGUUCCAUUUGAAACACAAAAGGACAUAAGAACGCACUUACAAUGUAGUAAUAUGUUAUAAGUAGAUGCAAUAUGAUUGCCAAUGAUAUAACUAUCCACCUGAGAUCAAAUUACGUAGAUGUUAGCAGCUAUUUGUCAUCAAGAGGCCUUCAACAUUCAACAAUGAGCAAAACCAUAUUUUUUAGCAAGAUAUAAAAGGCUGCGACAAAAUUCAAUGUAUAGGAAUUCCAAUUACAAAACCAUCAGCCCAAUUUCUGUCCAAAAUAAAUAGCAAAAUAUGAUACACAGUUACAUACGAUAUUCACGGCAUUACAGACACUUAACUUGAGACAUUAUAAACAAAAUAUUGCGAAGUAAAACAUGUUUGCGGGCUCCCCAACCUCUUCUUCGCCUUAACCAUGCCACACAUGUAAAACUCACCAGAUCCGGUUUAAACAAGAAAAUCAAGUAACAGAAACACUAAAAACACAAAUAAAGUACUGAUAUUUAGUGGGACCUAGUUUCAAACAAAUAACAAAUGAUAAAAAGUGAUGAUUCUUAGAUAGCUUCUUUUAAAUUUUAGGAUGGAAAUCUGCUGCCAAUAUUGUGAGCAUCUUUGGAUUAUGUCUAGCAAUAAAUAACGAUAUAUAUUUAACACUGUAGUUUCAUUGAAUAGCAUUAUAUGAAACAAUAUUGAGAGGAUCCUAUUUUUCAAUAUUUGUUUCUUAAUUUUUAAAUCUUUUAUUGCCGCAGUCAUAUCAUAAACUUGAAUCCUAAAGAACUAAUUAAACAAUACUACGUUUAUUUAUUUCAGCAGCCAUGCAAUGUUUGACCAACCUCGAAGAUCUACUGCUAAUAUUUUGAAAAGUGCAAUCGUGAACCCAUAUGAUGGAUUUGCACAUGGUGCUCAAGGAAUUCGUCAGUACCAUAAAAGAGCAUGUUAUGAUAUCUAAAAAUGUCAUUAUCUUGAAAAUGAGACAAUUUAUCAUUUAAACUUUAUGAAUGCUAGAAAUGAAUCAGUAUCACCAACAGCUUAAUUCAAAUGACCCGUCUAAAGGAACAACAGAUGCAAUUGCCUCUGAAAAAUUGUAUGAGUCCAAUUCAAUGCAUUUGUGUAAAAUUUGGAGCCUUAUCGUGUAAAUAAAUAACAAACAAAAAA
rnacentral:lncRNA from 1 species